CUUGGUCAUUUAGAGGAAGUAAAAGUCGUAACAAGGUUUCCGUAGGUGAACCUGCGGAAGGAUCAUUAUCGUAACAAGAGGGCGUUCUUGGUUGUCGCUGACCGCUAGGUCGUGCACGCCUCGAGCGUUCUCACUUACACAUCCAUCUCACCCCCUUUGUGCAUCACCGCGUGGGCCACCUUUGAUUCAAAGAAGGUGGCUUGCGUUUUCACACAAACGUCUUCGUAGUCGAAUGUCUUACUUUUGCGGUCACACGCAAUCAAUACAACUUUCAACAACGGAUCUCUUGGCUCUCGCAUCGAUGAAGAACGCAGCGAAAUGCGAUAUGUAAUGUGAAUUGCAGAAUUCAGUGAAUCAUCGAAUCUUUGAACGCACCUUGCACCCCUUGGCAUUCCGAGGGGUACACCCGUUUGAGUGUCGUGAAACUCUCAACCUUUUCGAUUUUCUUUUCGGAAAGGCUUGGACUUUGGAGGCUUUUGCUGGCCUUCCUUUCGGAAGCCAGCUCCUCUUAAACGAAUUAGUGGGGUCCUCUUCGCCGGUCCCUCGACGUUGAUAAGAAUUUCUCUACGUCCGAGGUUCGGCUCUGUUAGGCCCGCUCCUAACCGUCUCUCUUCGAGACACGUUUGAACCGUUUGACCUCAAAUCGGGUGAGACUACCCGCUGAACUUAAGCAUAUCAAUAAGCGGAGGA
rnacentral:rRNA from 1 species